GUCACAGAAUUCAAGGAAGUGCAGUCACCGUGGGAGGAACCAUGGCUGAUUGAAAUGUGAUACACUUCUACAUACACAUGCAGAAACCUACAUCCCUAUGAGUGACAUUAACUGGAUCUGCCUGGGAUAGCAGCAUCCUUGUGUUCUGAGGAAGGCACAUCCCAUUCUGUUGUGUGCCUCUUGGACAUCUCCCUAAUUUGAAACAGAAACAUCACCACCCCAUGAAGCUUUUGAAAAUAAUUGAGGCAAAGAAGCUACUACUAAGAGGACACCAUGCUUUAAUGAUUCUAACUGAAGGAAAAGGUGUAAGAAUUGUGGAAUUGGUGAUAGAAACUGUGUCAGAGAAGGAUGAAGAGUAAACCAGAACUGCUGGUGUUGAAAAUGCCUUGCAAUUUAAGUAAGAAGAAAUAUCAAAUAUCUCCCUGAAGCUGAAGAAUUUGAGAAAAUUACAUGUGAGGAGUUAAAAAACUUGGAAAUUACUUAAAAGAUCCAUGAAACACUUGAAAGCAACAAGCCAGCAUCCAAACAAAAGAGGAUUGUCAUCUGGCACUGCUGCUGCCCACUCUUCAAAACAGAAAGCAUUCCUGAAUUCAGUGGGUCUGUUUUCCUAGCAGACAAAACAAUUUGUUUGAUGCUAGGUUGUUAACCCAAGUCAGCUUUGGCUGACCUACAGCUAAUCUUUUCAGUCAGGAGACUGAACAUCCCAAACUUAGCUCCUUCUGGCUAAUCCAGGUGAAUUUAGCACAAAGAAGAUUCCUCUGCCACCUCAUCCACGUGAAUUUGUUUCUGUGCAAAUGUUAUGUUGGGUAUUAUGAGCAGAAAGUGACACACGUGUUUGUGCCUUCUAAAUAAAAGCCUUUUGUGGGUGGUUCAUUACAUUAAUGAUCUUUCCAUUUGAUAUGGGGCUGGCAGAGCAGAGCUCAUGUGUGGAAGAUCAGGAACAGUUUUGCAGGUCACUGAGUCUGUGUGUCUGCAAGCGAGCAAGUCUGGUGCAGUGUGUGUGCCAGAGAGAGAGGGCACACAGCGACAAAGGCAACCCUGCUGGAGUUUUUUCAUGCUGUUUGGAUGUGAACUUGGCUUUAUGCAGACAUUUUUAGUUGUGUUAUGUGUGCAGCUGUAAGAAAUAAUGGCAUGUGCAGCCUUCCCUCGACUGCUCCAGGCGAGCUGCGAGCGUGGUUCAGCCCUUCCUCUGAAAAAGGAUCUGGCCCAAUAUGAACCCUGAAUAUUGCAACAAAACACCCACUGAAAGAAGAGAGAGAAGAGAGAAUCUGUGCCAAGUAGGUAUUUCCAAGUGCAGGAGGCUCAUUUUGCAGAGCCUAAUGAGGGCUGAGAAACCAUGCUUCUGGGAUGUGUCCAGAUUUCAUGAAUAAGCCACGGAGAGACUGAUGAAAGCUAAUAAUAGUCUCAAAUUCCACACUUAAAUUUGUGUUCAUCAUAGAGUUGUUAGGAGAGCAGCAGCCUCUGCUCUGCAGCAGUGUCCCAGCCUCAGCCAUUGUUGCUGUUGGCCACUAUGUGCCAUUAAAAAUGUUUGGGUUUUUUUUCCCCUCAAACUUUAAAUACUUUUUCUCUGACCCUUUUUUACUAAGGCAUGUUUGAAAAAUGGAUUUAUGUAAAAUUUUUCCUUGCUCUGGAAAGCUUUUCUGAUGGACAGUUUGCUAAAAUAGCCCAACCUUAAUUUAUGAAAAGCAAUUUGGAAAGGAUGGGAUAUUGGCAUUGCAUGGAAUAGCUGAGGGAAGGUGUAAGUGUGCCUGGGAGUCUGUUGCUUAGAACUGAAAGUCACAGUGACUGUAGUUGAUAGAGAUCAGAGGUUUUAUCAGAAAAGCCCUCUCUGAAGUCAUAAUUCUUAUUCAUGCCAGGUGAACCCCCAUUUCCAUCCAGGGAAUUAAGUGUUGCUGUCACAUGUCCUGGCUAUUAGCUUCUGACAGAUUUUUGGCAUAUGCUUUAGCCUCAUGGGAUUGAUCCUGCACAGCUUCAAUGAACGGGGACCUUGUGACUUGAAAGGGAUGGAGGAUCAUUUCAAAGAGUCUGCAAGACAAACUCCAAGGGUGCUAAGUCCUUGUCAACCAGUUGUGGUUGCCUUAGAUUUUUCAAAAUUACUUGGAUACCUUGAAGAGUCCUCAGUAUCCCUGACCCUUAAUAUCCCUAUCACUCAUUUCCUCCCACCUGAACACAGGAAUCAGUUCUAAAAGUGCAAAUACACACAAGUUGCAACACUUAAAAUUAUUUUCCAAAAGACUUAGUUCCUGGAAGUAGAUAGAGAGGCAGAAAGAAAAUAGAAAGAAAAAUAACUGGGAUGAGAAAUUGUAAAUAAGUAAGGUGUUCUAU